rnacentral:rRNA from 1 species
ACACUCCUGCGGGAGGCAGCAGUGGGGAAUUUUGGACAAUGGGCGAAAGCCUGAUCCAGCAAUGCCGCGUGUGUGAAGAAGGCCUUCGGGUUGUAAAGCACUUUUGUCCGGAAAGAAAUCCUUGGCUCUAAUACAGUCGGGGGAUGACGGUACCGGAAGAAUAAGCACCGGCUAACUACGUGCCAGCAGCCGCGGUAAUACGUAGGGUGCGAGCGUUAAUCGGAAUUACUGGGCGUAAAGCGUGCGCAGGCGGUUUGCUAAGACCGAUGUGAAAUCCCCGGGCUCAACCUGGGAACUGCAUUGGUGACUGGCAGGCUAGAGUAUGGCAGAGGGGGGUAGAAUUCCACGUGUAGCAGUGAAAUGCGUAGAGAUGUGGAGGAAUACCGAUGGCGAAGGCAGCCCCCUGGGCCAAUACUGACGCUCAUGCACGAAAGCGUGGGGAGCAAACAGGAUUAGAAACCCUGGUAGUCCCAUGAU